AAAAAAAGAACCACUUUGUAAGUAAGUUACAUACAAAACCUUUGAAAUAUCAACUAAAUUCAAAAUGAUUGUGAUAUUAAGAAAUUAAGAAGCAAAAUAAUUACAUUAUGUUGACUUAGACUGUGAUUCCACAAGAGAUCCACAAACACAUUCUCAAAACCGUAACAAACGUCCAGACCUAAGGUCAAUUUAUUACAUUAUGAGCAGGCCCUUUACAAUUUUGAAACCCUACAACAUGUAUUUGCAUAAAAAACUACCGAAAGAUCAAAGAAUCAAAAGGAAAUAACAGAUGGGGAGAUAAAAGAGGUUAAAGCUAGGAUGAGACUGAAGAGGGUUCUCUUAAGAUCAAAGAAAAGCCUGGAUAUAAGUACUUCGAAAAAACUCUUGUUUCUUAGUGCUAGUUUUGAAAAUUAGUCUCUUCCUCUGCAAACUCUGAACAAAAAGGCAAACAAAAUUGUCAUUAAAGAUGCAUAACAAUACCAGAGAAUGCAUACCUUAAGCUAAAAAAACCAAACUAAUGAACAACAAAAAAUCAUGUAAACAAGAAUAAAAUGUUGAAUAAAUUCACGUUUAUAUAACAUUACUCUAUUUUUUAUUAUGAAAGAAUAAAAUGUAUUAAAUUGAAUAACUUAAAAAUAUAUAUAUUUACAUUGUUUUUCAACCAAAAUUUACAAAAAUGACUUUGUGAAAAGCUAUUAAUUAUAAUGUUAUCAUGUAGUUAGUUGGACAGAAAAAUAUGUGCAAUAUCAAGCAAGGCACAAAUUUACAAAAAUGACUUUGUGAAAAGCUAUUAAUUAUAAUGUUUUAUCAAUUUUUUAUUAUUAAAACGACGAAGUUGUAGUAUCCCUUCAUUAUUUUACAAAAUUAAAAAUUUAUUUAUUGUAUUUUUGUCCUUACAGUAGCGCCACACAAGGCACAAGCCAAAAAAAUUCAAGCGCUAAAGUUUGGCGCACAAUUUUUUUUGGGUAUUGGGGAUGGUACUACUUGUACCGUGCCAAAAAAUAACGUUUUUAAGGACAAUUUUUAGACCGUCCCUAAAGGACUGUCACUAAUAACCAGAUUUGUUGUAGUGUUCAUACAUAUAUCCAUUUAAAAAGAAAUAGUUUUCUAGCAAUUGAAACUCAUCUCUAUAUUUUAUAUUCUUUUACUGUUAUUGAUAUCUUGAAGAGGCCAUUUUAGUAACUAAUAUUUAUAUGGUUUAGAUAAGUCACAAGAUAAGAUUAGCAUUUAGAAACUAUUUCCCUGGUUUUGGGCUCAAUCAUUCAAUGUGCUAUGCUUUCUUCCCCUUAGUUGUUUGUGACAUUGUUUAUAUAUAUUUGCACAUCUUUUUGCUUUGAUUUGCAGUGUACGCGCAGUGGAGACAACAAACAAGAAGUGGGAUGAAUCAAUAUUUUCUCAAGGUUUCACAUUGAUUGCAAUCUGGCUCCCCUUUUGGAUUCGGAUCUUAGAUUUUUUAUUUUAUUUUAAAUUUUGAUAUGUGAAUGUCACUACAACAAAUUUAGGUUUUUGCCAUCAGACACUUCGUGGCAAAAACUUUCAAAUUUCGUGGCGAAACCUUUUUAGCCACAAGAAAUAGACCGUGGCUCGGUCGUGGGUGUAGCCCCGUCACAGAAUGCCAAUAACCACGACUAAAAAUCUUUGUGACAAAAUGUGGACCUUUUGCCACAAAUUUGAACCCAUGGUAAAAUAUCUUCUAUUGCCACAAACUAUUUCGUCGCUAAAUAACAAUAUUUUCGUGGCAAGUAGCAAUCCCGAUAUAGGAUUUAGUCAUGGCUAAUUCCGUCCUUUUGCAACGAAAAUAUUUAUCGUGGUAGAAUAGGUCUUUUCCUACGGAAUUUAUUCGUGGCUAUAAAUUUAAUUAUCUACGAAUAUAUGUCGUGACAAAUAUCCAAAUAAGUCACAGAGUUUAUUCGUGGUUAUAAUUUUAAUUGCUCACGAAUACAUAUCAUGGCAACUAUUCAAAAUAGGCCACGGAGUUUAUCCGUGGCCAUUCUAUUAUUAAUAAAAUAAAAUAUAAUUUAAUAGUCAAAAAUAUAUAUUGUGACAAAUACCAAAAAUAGGCUACAAAUUUAUUGUGGCACGAUAAGAAUUUGUGGCAAACUUAUAAAUUAUUAACAUUAUAAACAAAAGAAAUAUUAUAGGAAAAAAAAAAAUUUAUCACAUUAACACGAUUAUGCAAACAAAUAAAUAUUUAACAUUGUGUAAGUUACACCAACCAAAAAAUGUAUUGUUUAUAACAAACAUAAUAAAGCCCAUCGCGUAAAAAAAUGAGUCCUAGCAUCUAAAACCAUUUCAACUCAAAUAAUUUGGAUCAAAACAAGUUAGUAUAUUAAAUAAAAUGU